UGCGCCUGUAGCUCAGUUGGAUAGAGCGGCGGUCUUCUAAACCGCAGGUCAUUGGUUCGAGUCCAAUCAGGCGUGU
rnacentral:tRNA from 1 species